GACGAACGCUGGCGGCGUGCCUAAUACAUGCAAGUAGAACGCUGAAGAGAGGAGCUUGCUCUUCUUGGAUGAGUUGCGAACGGGUGAGUAACGCGUAGGUAACCUGCCUUGUAGCGGGGGAUAACUAUUGGAAACGAUAGCUAAUACCGCAUAACAAUGGAUGACCCAUGUCAUUUAUUUGAAAGGGGCAAAUGCUCCACUACAAGAUGGACCUGCGUUGUAUUAGCUAGUAGGUGAGGUAACGGCUCACCUAGGCGACGAUACAGAGCCGACCUGGGAGGGUGAUCGGCCACACUGGGACUGAGACACGGCCCAGACUCCUACGGGAGGCAGCAGUAGGGAAUCUGCGGCAAUGGGGGCGAGCCUGACCGAGCAACGCCGCGUGAGUGAAGAAGGUUUUCGGAUCGUAAAGCUCUGUUGUAAGUCAAGAACGAGUGUGAGAGUGGAAAGUUCACACUGUGACGGUAGCUUACCAGAAAGGGACGGCUAACUACGUG
rnacentral:rRNA from 1 species